GGGAGGGUAGGGGCUGUUUGCGGAUUCAAGAAGUAGUCUCUUCCCGUUUGAAUGUUAGAUCAAUUUGGGCAAUGCGAUUGAAAGGUUGUUGUAUCUAGAUUGGUCAACCAAAGCUUUGGUAAUAAAAUAUAAAAAUGAGCAACUCUGCCUGGGAUUCAUUUAUAACCAGCUUAUGUGUCAUCUAACGAAUCUGGGGGGUGACCAGCAGAAAAUUAAGGUCAGAACACAACAAUUGGGGGCUUUCGUCCGGGAUGACACGCUGAGAAUUGGACUUCUCUUGCAACCUUCCGGACAGACCCACUUGGCCAACACAAAAAUCAAGGCCAUCCAUUGCUAUGUCUCACUCCGUCUCCAGCUAGUUAGCUGCUAAGCUAAUGAAGCUAGCGGAGAAAGACAGCGCCGGUCUGAAGGAAGCUACUCCCCCGCCACCAUGACCACCACUUCCCGAAGACAGCUGGCACUCCAUUCGGCGACAGAAAAUUCUGUGCCAUUUUGGUAACCUCAGCUGACCCCACAUAACCUCACUGUUAGUUGUUCUGCAUCGAUCUCCAUGGUUUUCCAAGCAAGACUGCGAUGUCCUUGUCUUCUUUUCACUUCACCCAAGCGGUAACCAUGGAGGAGUUCCACAAGGGGGCGUAGCUAUGUGGUCCCUGUCAAAGCAGGGGAGGUCGAGGCGAUCCCGAAAGGAGUCGAGGCACACAGCUCGAUCACAGGAGAACACGGGAAGCAUAAGAUCCAGGUGUGCUGAUCGCCCACAGCAUUGCCAGCGUGUGGGCGUGAUGUGGCCAGUGUGAGCAGGGGCAUAUCCUGGUUUGCUGCCAACACAGGAGCUGGCAGCCCUUGAUGCAGAGGACAAGUGGGAUCGAGCCCGCACCUUGACAAUUUAAGUGAAUAAAGAGUUAUAUGUUUA